GGUCUUGGGUCCGCUCAAUGAAUAGCAAUGAAAAUCUUCCUCCACUAGCAAGUGAGAACCGGAGGGGAAGAGGAAGAUGCAUAGAGGGAGAUUGAAAGGAGGAGAAUAUAGUCCGAGCGAGGAGGAAGAGGAGACCUGCUGUGGCGCGGAGCAUCACCGGCCAAUGAUUGUGAUAAGAGAAUCACACCCAGAUAAUAGCCUCCAACUACAACAUUCAUAGGCGCAGGCCACUGUCCCAGAAAACUAAGGGAGAUGCACAACCAUAAGAAGAGGAACUCAAUCAGGAACAAUUAUACGGUCUCGUCCCUUCCCGUAUUCACAUGCAUCAGAAUAGCAGUUUAUUCUUUGUCUCAGUGGAAUGGUUUGUAGUUACUAAUUUCUUCCUGCAGUCUAUGGAACAUUUCAAAGAUGGUUACUGGUUUUUGUGGUUUUACUCACUGAUCUUCCCUGGAUGCUAAAUCAGGGCUUGCUUAUUUUAAUUCCUAUUUCUUUUGAAAAAUAUCAUAACAUCGUUAUUUGUAAGAAUUUGUAGUCGGCAGUUCUCAAUUGCUUGAUAUCCCAACAUACUAUUACACAAAUACUGAAAUUAUAUUGGUUUCUCAAUAUAAGCUCUUUGUUUUCUUUAGUUUUACCUUAAUAUGCUAUAAAAUACGAAUCAAGAAUGUAGCUUGUUUCUCGAUUAACUGAUUAGAGUAACUAUUGUAAAAAGGGCGGUCAGUGCAAUUGUCAUCGCUCGCUUACACUAUAUCAGCCGAGUGACCAGGCCAGAUUUGAAAAUAUAAUUAUGUACUUAACUAGACAAGUUUAAUAUUUAUAUUCUCAGGUUUUUGGCAGUGCCUUAUUUGGUUCUUCUCAGUUGAACUGAUUAACAUGAGCUUUGGUUAAGCGAAUUUCUGUCAUGGCAUGCUGAGAGCUGGAGCGAUCUGGAGCAUAGCGUAAUAUCAUAAGUAUCCAUGAUUCCGCUCUUCCAAAAUCGUUUUAGAUUCUGUUUCAUGGCUUCUUAUUGAUUUACGUAUAUUUGUGUGCUUAUUUGUGAGAAGGAGCUGCAGGUGACACGUGCAUCGUUUUAGAUUCUGUUUGCCGGUGAUCAACGAUAGUCACUAAUUAAUAACUACAUUUUUGGCAUAUUCACCUUUGUAAAUAGUUAUGCCUGUAUUUUAUUAAUGAAUCAUAUAUUUUCGUUUCAAGUUGUUUACUUCGGCUGAACAUGCACUGCAGAUGAAAGAUGAAAGGACGAUGGAUUACUGGUUGGCUGGGAUAUAUUUCUUCUGGAUGCACAGGUCACCUUCACUCAAGCCAGAGUAUUGGUGACGUUUUCAUGGUAUUUCUACUUAAAGAUUGUUCCGAUUGGUUUUAGUUCAUGGUAUUAGUCUACAAAUUUCCCUCACUAUCUUAUGCAACUUUAGCAUUAGAGGAGAGUGCUAAGGGUUGUGAAAAAACCAUGCACCCUUCAGAUUGCUCACCUGGGCUCAACAACAUAAAUUAUGAGAAUAUUGUUGAUUAUAGUUCACAAUUUAUUCGACUAGGAAGUUGCUAAAUGUUCAGUGCUUUAGUGAUACCGAUGAGAAACGCCGGUGUAUUGGUUACAUUUUCCUGAUAAUUGUUCUAUCAAGAAGUUUGUAAUAGUUUGAUCCAGCACAUCAUCUUUUGUGAAAAAAAUAUAUCAUUUAUCAUCUGCUUUUGCUUAUCGGAUGUGAUAUUGCACAAGAUAAAUAUUGGAGAUGGUGGAUCAAAGUAGUACAUAGUACUUUUUUUAACUCUGGAAUAUGGAAUUCUUCUGCCAGAUGUAUGUUAAUAUUGUGCACAGGAUGUUGUGAACCACUGGUGAUUUCCAAUAUACAACAAUUCU